rnacentral:rRNA from 1 species
AAUUUAACGGCCGCGGUAUUUUGACCGUGCAAAGGUAGCGCAAUCACUUGUCUUUUAAAUGAAGACCCGUAUGAAUGGCAUAACGAGGGCUUAACUGUCUCCUUUUUCCUAUCAAUGAAAUUGAUCUCCUCGUGCAGAAGCGAGGAUAUAACCAUAAGACGAGAAGACCCUGUGGAUCUUUAGUCCUAAGAACAGAACAUAGUUAAAUUACUUGAUUAUAAGUCAAGACUUAUUGAAGCCUGCUCUAGCGACUUUGGUUGGGGCGACCGCGGAGUAACAUAAAACCUCCAUGAUGAAAGAAGAUAAUUCUUCUAAUCCCAGAGCGACAGUUCUAAGAAGUAGAAUCUCUAACCUUCUGAUCCGGUAAUACCGAUCUACGAAAUGAGUUACCCCAGGGAUAACAGCGCAAUCCUCUUUUAGAGCCCAUAUCGACAAGAGGGUUUACGACCUCGAUGUUGGAUCAAGGUAUCCUAAUGGUGCAACAGCUAUUAAGGGUUCGUUUGUUCAACGAUUAAAACCUUAC